GCACAAGUUUGCUUGCCCAUAAAAAAGAAAGGAUGGCAAUGACAGAGAUUGAUCGGUUCUUUGUAGUAUGGGAAUCCAUCCAUCAAUUAGAGGAGAAGUUUGGGAAUUUCUACUCAAUUGCUAUGAUGCCAAGAGUAGAUUUGAGGAAAGAGAGGAGAUAAGGCAGCGUUGAAGGUAAUCGUUCCCCCUUCUAUCAAUCUAAAUGAUCGUCGAUUAGUUGUAUAACUUAAUCUGUAUUUUCAGGGAGAAAUAUGCUGAAUGGAAGGAAGAAUAUCGUCAAUUAUUUCUGCUCGUGGGAAGUGGUAGAUUUAUCACAGCACCUGUAGUUACUGGCGAUGGUCAACCGAUUCAAGAUCCAAUUGUAUCGAGCGUCUGCUGCGUAGAUUACAAAGAUUAUAUGGCUGCCACACCAUCCUGGGCCGUCUAUGAAGCUGAGGAAGGAGAAUUUGAUCCAGCACAAUUGAGAUAUAGCAAAGAGAGACGCCAAAGUGUGCCUAUGAAUUCUUGAAUCGUCUAUAUCUUACUUAAUGUUUUCGAAAAAACCAGCGAAGUCGGCAUUUCAACGAGUAAAAGUUGACAAGAUAGACUUUAUUGAUGAGAGGCUUCAAGAUAGCUGUCAU